GACGAACGCUGGCGGCGUGCUUAACACAUGCAAGUCGAACGAUGAUCUCCCGCUUUCGGGGGUGGUUAGUGGCGAACGGGUGAGUGAUACGUGAGUAACCUGCCCUUGACUCUGGGAUAAGCCUGGGAAACAGGGUCUAAUACUGGAUACUACUUCCUGCCGCAUGGUGGGGGGUGGAAAGGGUUUUACUGGUUUUGGAUGGGCUGACGGCCUAUCAGCUUGUUGGUGGAGUAAUGGCUCACCAAGGCGACGACGGGUAGCCGGCCUGAGAGGGUGACCGGACACACUCGGGCUGAGACACGGCCCAGACUCCUGCGGGAGGCAGCAGUGGGGAAUAAGGCACAAGGGGCGGAAGCGUGAUGCAGCUACGCCGCGUGGGGGAUGACGGCCCUCGGGUUGGAAAACUCGGUCAGCAGGGAAGGUGCGACGAGUGACGGUAGCUGCAGAAGAAGCGCCGGCUAACUACGUG
rnacentral:rRNA from 1 species